AAGACUAUGCUUUCAGGGAUCGUCUCUAUAGUUCAUUACUAGAGAAGUUUCUCUGAAUGUGUAGAGCACCCGAAACCACGAGGAAGAGAUGCAGCAUUCUCUCCUGAGGGUGAAACUGGCUCUCCGUGUUGCUUUGGCAACGGGCAACAACCACUUGCCAUUGGUGAUCGUUCUUUUUUCUCUGGGAGAGGAGAGGGAGAGGAUGUGUUUUGAGUGGC